rnacentral:rRNA from 1 species
CCUACGGGAGGCAGCAGUGAGGAAUAUUGGUCAAUGGACGAGAGUCUGAACCAGCCAAGUAGCGUGAAGGAUGACUGCCCUAUGGGUUGUAAACUUCUUUUAUAUGGGAAUAAAAUGUUCCACGUGUGGGAUUUUGUAUGUACCAUAUGAAUAAGGAUCGGCUAACUCCGUGCCAGCAGCCGCGGUAAUACGGAGGAUCCAAGCGUUAUCCGGAUUUACUGGGUGUAAAGGGAGCGUAGGUGGGUUAGUAAGUCAGUUGUGAAAGUGUGCGGCUUAACCGUAAAAUUGCAGUUGAAACUGGUAGUCUGGAGUAUAGUAGAGGUGGGUGGAAUUCGUGGUGUAGCGGUGAAAUGCUUAGAGAUCAAGAAGAAUACUGAUUGCGAAGGCAGCCCACUGGACUGCAACUGACACUGAGGCUCGAAAGUGUGGGUAUCAAACAGGAUUAGAUACCCUGGUAGUC